GAAUGACUCGGUGAAGAAUUGGGACUGGGAAUCUGUUUGCUUCAUUGCGAAUGGAUUUGUGGGAACUUUUUUUAACCUCGCCAUUUAGAGGAAGGUGAAGUCGUAACAAGGUUUCCGUAGGUGAACCUGCGGAAGGAUCAUUA
rnacentral:rRNA from 1 species